rnacentral:ncRNA from 1 species
UAGGUAAGAGAUAAAAACACAGUCUGGCUGAUAGUACAGACCUAUUGAAAAAUAGAAGUAACCUGACAUCCUGGGGUUGCCCACUCUCUUGUAAUAAACA